UGGGGAGUCGUCCAACGGCUAGGACACGUGACUCUGGAUCACGGUAUCGGGGUUCGAAUCCCUGCUCCCCAGCCA
rnacentral:tRNA from 2 species